CUACGGGCCGCAGCAGUAGGGAAUAUUGCACCAUGGGCGAAAGCCUGAUGCAGCAACGCCGCGUGAGCGAUGAAGGCCCUCGGGUCGUAAAGCUCUUUUCAAGGGGAAGAGGAAGGACGGUACCCUUGGAAUAAGUCUCGGCUAACUACGUGCCAGCAGCCGCGGUAAAACGUAGGAGGCGAGCGUUAUCCGGAUUUACUGGGCGUAACGCGCGUGUAGGCGGUACAGCAAGUUGGAUGUGAAAGCUCCUGGCUUAACUGGGAGAGGUCGUUCAAAACUGCUGAACUAGAGUACGGUAGAGGAAGAUGGAAUUCCGGGUGUAGUGGUGAAAUGCGUAGAUAUCCGGAGGAACACCAGAGGCGAAAGCGAUUUUCUGGACCGAAACUGACGCUCAGACGCGAAAGCUAGGGUAGCAAACGGGAUUAGAUACCCGGGUAGUC
rnacentral:rRNA from 1 species